UUAAGCAAUGCUUAAAUAACAGCUGAUUUUUGUUUUGAAUUUGCUUUGAAUUUUCAGCGACAUCUUUCGUAGCGUAGGGCAAGGUUCGUUUGCACUCAAUAACAGCUUAUACUUUUCCUUCAGUUCCCAUAGGUGCUCCGACUCGCUAGUGAUGAAAUUUGGGGUUCUUUUGUUGUUUUCAUCAAUUUUUGAUAUAAUUUUUCUCGCAAAUUUAUGGAUUGUCUGUUAUAAUUUAAAUAUUUCAAACAUAUUUUUAUGAAUGACAUUUGUAAAACAUAUGUUGCCCAUAACGUUGCCAUAUAUCAUAAUAAAAUUUUAUAGAAAUUAAGCAUUGACUGUGAAACGCAAACGACUACUCAGUUUGCAACAAUACUUAGCUAAGAUUUUAUUUAGGCACAACUUAAGUAUGGACUGUGAAACCGGGCAUUAGUCAACUUUCCAUUUCUUGUCAAUAAAAGUGUGCUCACAUAAUUAAGUCAUUCUGUUUGAAACGGUCAUCGUCGUCAUGGGCAAGAAUAAAAGCACAACUUCAAGCGAAAGAAGGGUCAUAUGGGAAUGAGAGGAAUACCACGGUGUAGAAAUAUCUGCGCAAACUGUACGAAGACGACUACAAGAAAAUUCAUUGAAUGGCCGUUUAGCAAGACGAAAACCUAACGUUUCAAAAAGAAAUAUUGAAAAGCGAAAAGCGAAAAGCGUUUGCUAAAGACCAUCUCUGGAAGGACUCUAAAUUUUGGAAUUUGGUGGUUUGGAGUGACGAAUCCAAAUUUAAUGUAUUUGGUAAUGAUGGGAAACCAUAUGUAAGACGACCCCCUUUGCAAGAACUCAAUCCCAAGUACACUAAAAAAACCGUGAAACAUGGUGGUUCAUCGGUGAUGGUGUGGGGUUGCUUCACGUCAUCAGGCGUUGGCUCGAUUGUUAAAAUAGACGGGAAAAUGACAGGUGAAAUGUACAAAUGUAUACUGGAGAACAAUUUAGACGGUGACUAUGUGGACAAUUUACCGUUAGCUUGGAUUUUCCAGCACGAUGACAACCCCAAACACUGCUCGCGGGUCGUUAAUACUUGGAUACGUAGUCGAAAUAUUAAAAUUCUGGAUUGGCCAGCUCAAAUUCCGGACCUAAACCCCAUAGAAAACCUAUGGGGGAUUAUAAAAAGAGCCGUAGCUGCACGAAAACCUCGCAACAAAGAUUCUUUAUGGGAAAUAAUACAGGCAGAGUGGUACAAAAUAAGUCCCGCACAAUGUGCUACUUUGGUCCAAACAAUGCCUAAGCGAUGUACUGAAGUGCUACGUAAUAAAGGAUAUCCAACUAAGUAUUAGUCUUAGGUGACUUAAUUAUAUGAGCACAACAACUUGGAUGUGCUAAGCGAAUGAACGCAAUAUUUUUACUAUUUUAGAAGUUAAAUAAAAAAUAAGUAUUCUGUUUUGA